rnacentral:tmRNA from 1 species
GGGGGCGACAUGGCUUCGACGUGGGUGUUGAAACAUCAGGAGCAUUCCGGGGAGUAUGAGGACCUCGUUAAAAACAUGCACACUGUAAUUGGCAACGAUUACGCACUUGCUGCUUAAUUAGUUUUAAGCGCACGGAGCCCACAGAUUCGGACUGUGAUUUGUGAAGCACCGUCAUUAUGCAGUCUCGGGUUCAGUUGCUCUCUGAAGGGCUGAACCUUAAAUACACUUUGGGGAGGGUCCUCACAGAUUUUGUCUGUGGAAGCUGAGGGGACUAACUAUCAAAACAUAGACUAAGAAUGUAGCGCCUGAUCGCGGAUCGCUUGCGGACGCGGGUUCGAUUCCCGCCGCCUCCACCA